GUUUUAAUAAUUUAAUAAAAAUAUUGGUCUUGUAAAUCAACAUUAGGUGCUGCCUUUAAAACU
rnacentral:tRNA from 1 species